AGUAACACGUGGAUAACCUACCUAUAAGACUGGGAUAACUUCGGGAAACCGGAGCUAAUACCGGAUGAUAUUUUGAACCGCAUGGUUCAAAAGUGAAAGACGGUCUUGCUGUCACUUAUAGAUGGAUCCGCGCUGCAUUAGCUAGUUGGUAAGGUAACGGCUUACCAAGGCAACGAUGCAUAGCCGACCUGAGAGGGUGAUCGGCCACACUGGAACUGAGCACGGUCCAG
rnacentral:rRNA from 1 species